AGGCGCCGGGCCGGGGCGGGAGCGGGGGGGAUCCCCCGUCCCCGCCCCCCGGAGUUCCUGUGACGCAAUUAGCCAUAUAUGGGCUUGUCUGGAGUGUUUGUUUGGUAUCCUAGCAAUGACGUCACAGGGAUUCCCUCCGCCGCCGCCGCCGCCGCCGCCGCCGCCGCCGCCGCCGCCGCCCGGGCGCGUAUUAAUAGAAACGGGACCGGCCGCCGUUCUAGAAACGGCCCGAACCCUCCGGGACAACCGGGAACGGGGCCGGGAUCCCCCCGAGAAUGGACCGGGACCCCCCGAACACCGGGAACCGGGCCAGGAUACCCCGAACACCGGGAACGGGGCCGGGAUACCCCGGGAAUCGGACCGGGACCGGGAUACCCCGGGAAUCGGACCGGGACCGGGACCCACCCGAACAUCAGGAACGGGACCGGGACCCCCGGGAAUGGAGCGGGACCCCCCGAACACCAGGAAACGGGCCAGGAUACCCCGAACACCGGGAACGGGACCUGCCGGGACCCCCCGAACACCAGGAACGGGACCUGCCGGGACCCCCGAGAAUGGACCGGGACCCUCCGAACACCGGGAACCGGGCCGGCAUACCCNNNNNNNNNNACACCGGGAACGGGGCCGGGAUACCCCGAACACCGGGAACGGGACCCUCCGGGACAAGCGGGAACGGGGCCGGGACCCACCCGAGAAUGGAUCGGGACCCUCCGGGACAAUCCGGAACGGGGCUGGGACCUUCAAGAACCGACCGGGAUCUCCGGUUCCAGGUCCCGGGAACCCGCCGAGACCCCCCGAGACCCUCCCCACACCGGUAACGCCACCGCCCCACCCCCACACCGGGGAUCCCCGGCAUCCCCCGCCCCCUCCGGGGCGUCUCCCGGGCUUCCCCCGGUGUCCUGCCGGGAUCCCGCCGGUGAUCUCCGCGUUUCCGCCACCGGGAUCCCCUGGUGUCCUCCAGGAGCCCCCGGGACCUCCGGUAACUCCCCCCGGGAUCCCUCCCGGUACCUCCGGCAGCCGUCGGGACCUCGCCCGGGACAUCCCGGCGACCCCUCGAGCACCGGCCCGGGCUGGAGCUGUCCCCGUACGGCCGCGCCCGGUACCGGAGCGAUGGGAACUUCCCCCUCCGGGGGUUCCCGGGACCGGGGCAAAGCGACCCCCGCGACCCCCAACAACCGGGGGUCACCGGCACCGGGCUGAGGAGCUCCGGUGGCGGCCGGUGACACCGGCGCCGUCCCCCGCCCCCCCGGGGGGUUCGGGACGGGGGUCCGGAGGGUCCCGGUCCCUUUGCAGCGCCGGGACGGGCACCGGGGGCUGAUGUCACCGGCGGGAACCGGCGCUGAGUCACGGCGGGACCGUGGGGACCGGCGCGGGGGGCGGUUCCCACGCCCUCGGGUUCAUUCGUUCAUUCAUUCGCGCGGGCCCCGCCCCCUCCGGUGUCCCCGGUGU
rnacentral:lncRNA from 1 species